ACAUGCCUACAACAUAGUGUUAAUGCACCAGAUCCCAUUAGAACUCCACAGUUAAGCACGCUCAGGCUAGAGUAGUACUGGGAUGGGUGACUUCCUAGGAAUUCCUAGUGUUUUACAUGCC
rnacentral:rRNA from 1 species